rnacentral:rRNA from 1 species
UGAGGAAUGUGGAGAGUGGGCGCAAGCCUGAUCCAGCAAUGCCGCGUGCAGGAAGAAGGCCUUCGGGUUGUAAACUGCUUUUGUACGGAACGAAAAGGCUCUGGCUAAUACCUGGAGCUCAUGACGGUACCGUAAGAAUAAGCACCGGCUAACUACGUG